GACGAACGCUGGCGGCGUGCUUAACACAUGCAAGUCGAACGGAAAGGCCCUGCUUUUGUGGGGUGCUCGAGUGGCGAACGGGUGCGUAACACGUGAGUAACCUGCCCUUGACUUUGGGAUAACUUCAGGAAACUGGGGCUAAUACCGGAUAGGAGCUCCUGCUGCAUGGUGGGGGUUGGAAAGUUUCGGCGGUUGGGGAUGGACUCGCGGCUUACCAGCUUGUUGGUGGGGUAGUGGCUUACCAAGGCUUUGACGGGUAGCCGGCCUGAGAGGGUGACCGGCCACAUUAGGACUGAGAGACGGCCCAGACUCCUACGGGAGGCAGCAGUGGGGAAUAUUGCACAAUGGGCGGAAGCCUGAUGCAGCAACGCCGCGUGCGGGAUGACGGCCUGCGGGUUGUAAACCGCUUUCGCCUGUGACGAAGCGUGAGUGACGGUAAUGGGUAAAGAAGCACCGGCUAACUACGUG
rnacentral:rRNA from 1 species